UACGAAGGGGGCUAGCGUUGCUCGGAAUCACUGGGCGUAAAGGGUGCGUAGGUGGUGAGGUAAGUCGGAUGUGAAAUCUCCAGGCUCAACCUGGAAAUGGCAUUGGAAACUACCUUGCUAGAGGGUUUGAGGGGGGACUGGAAUACUUGGUGUAGCAGUGAAAUGCGUAGAUAUCAAGUGGAACACCAGUGGCGAAGGCGAGUCCCUGGAAAAUACCUGACACUGAGGCACGAAAGCUAGGGGAGCAAACAGG
rnacentral:rRNA from 1 species